rnacentral:rRNA from 1 species
UACGUAGGGUGCGAGCGUUGUCCGGAAUUACUGGGCGUAAAGAGCUCGUAGGUGGUUUGUCGCGUUGUUCGUGAAAACCGGGGGCUUAACCCUCGGCGUGCGGGCGAUACGGGCAGACUUGAGUACUGCAGGGGAGACUGGAAUUCCUGGUGUAGCGGUGGAAUGCGCAGAUAUCAGGAGGAACACCGGUGGCAAAGGCAUCCCUCUAGUGUUAACUGACGCUGAGGUACGGAAGCGUAGGGAUCAAACAGG